GUUUUCAUUUGUGUUUUGGAAACCAAAAUAUAAAAUCUCCAGGACCAAAUGUUAAGGAUGACAAGGAAGAUGGAGAAGAACAGAAGAAACUUCCCACCAGCAGGCCCCCCGCCUAACAGCCCCCCCCCCCGCCCCCCAUAACUGCUUUGGAAUUUGUCUCAGAGGAUAACUGAGAUUUAAAUUGUUAGUUCAUUAGCACAAAGGAAAUACCGACUUCAACCUUCACUUGCUUGCUCAGGGUAGUCAGCGGCUAAGACGGGCAAAUGAGCUCAGACCAGCUCUAGAUUUCUGGCGGGAGAAAAGGAAUAGUGGCAGAAAUAUACAUGUAGCAGGGAAAGAGAGGGCAAAUUGUCUCCCAUUUAUUUUCAUAUUUUAUUUAGAGAUGAAUUUACUACUGUGCUGUUCUUCAGUAGCUCUCGAGGUAGAGAGGGGAGUGGGAAAUGAUGUUGAUCCCUGGAAUCUUUCCUGCUUGCCCCUAAAUGCCAGCCCACCCCUUCCUAUCACCACAGGGCUCCUCUUAGAACCUUUUAGAAAUACAAAACGUUCUCUGAGGUGGGGUGGGGAGGAUGGGGGAGGGCUGUGAAGCCUGCCUCUCCAGACCUCUCCUAUCUGUCUUCUACAAUAAGAGGACUGUGUGCUGAGCUCUGAGAGAAGGAAGGACUUCCUGUGCAUAAAGAUGGCGAAUCCAGAGCUUUUGUAAACUGAUUUGGAAAUUCUUUGCUUUGGAAGUGAAGAGGAUUUUUAACAAGCAAAAGGAGGUGGUUAACUGGAAGGUUGAGAGGAAAGGCCACAGAACAAGUGUCUAGGUAGACAGACUGGUAGGAUUUCACAUUUGUUCCUGCGCUCUGACAUUCCGAAGGACCAAGGAAGCAAAGCAUUAGAGAGUGUCCAUUUUGCAGCCUUUUGCUUUCUAAUCUCCUUAUGGAAGGCAGUGUAAAAUCAAUCUCGACAAACGAACGCGAGUUGGUGGAGUCUGAAUUCUAUUUUCCGAAGCCAGAGAAUUCAUAACAAUGGUGCAGAGAUGGCAGCGGUUCUGAGGCAAGAGUACUGAAAUUUGCUUUAUAAUUUACUUGAUUAUCCAAGUUGUGCAUUUGAAGAAACACAUCCAUGUUUCCGUAGUGCUUAGUGCUAUGGGUGAAAGAAAUCUUAAAGUCAAGCAGAGAAGAAAAAAAUAAAACCCACGCAUACCUCAGAAAAGCCCAAUUCAACUCCUAACAUCACCCAACCACCCCAUCCCAGAAGAAUGAAACCAUGGAGCACAACAGGUAAUAUCAGUUUUCACACCUCUGCAUCCCCUUUUAGGAUGCUCCGGGAUAUUUUUCCUUGUGAAUUUCAGUGAACGAUUCUUUUCUAUAUUAAACUUGGUUUACUACCUGAGUUGCACAGGUAUGCCA